CGCAGAGUCCGCAGACUGAGCGGCGUAUGACAUCAAACUACCGCAAAUCGCUCUCGCGGACUGUAAUGUUACGCUCGUGCUCCUGUCUAUCGACAGAGUGAAACAGACGCAACAUGUCAUAGACGCAGAGCGCGCACUCUCUGCCGCAUUCAGCAUGAACUGUCAGCACGAGACAGGCGCUCAAAGCCAGAGACCACCAGUUCAUAUGUAACGCCAUGGGCUGAAAACGGAAAAAUGAAACUUUGCAAGAAGAGAUGAUUCGAGACAACGACUCCAAGAGUACAAAGAUCAAGAGCCAGGCACUUUUCACUGAUGGAGCUUGAGGGAAGCGUCGUUGUGUACUGUACCGCCUCUACACAAGAGGAUCUCUUGUUCUGAUCGAGAGUGACUGUUACUGACAUUUUUAAACAGUGCAUCCCAAUGAUGUCACACCGUUUGCAAUCUGACGUAGGCAGGAAAAUUCAUGCAGAGAAUGACGGAGGUAAACACUUUUUUCCCCAUAGCCUACAUAAUAAAUUGUGUUUAUUCUUCAUAUUUUUUCAGGUGAUUUAUGGGAGUUUUUUGAUGAAAUCACAAAGUAAUGACAGUUUUGUUUGCCCAUAACCGAAACCUGCUGCUAAUCUUGUGUGUUUCUUUUAUAAUUGCACACAUGACUCUGCUCAGUGCACUAUUAUUUGGUAUGGUAAGCAUUUAUUGCUCUAUAAUCCACACUUAUGUGUUUCACUGCUGUUCGGCAUUGGUCAACCUAGUUUUUUAAAUACAAAUUUAAUUGCAAUUUCUAAAAUGCACCAUAGACAACUAGACAAAAUGUUAAAAAGAAAAAAAAUAAGGACUAAUGUGCUUCUACCUCAUUGGUCCCUGGUGGUAUGUGGACAUGUAUUAAAUAGAACACAUUUUUGAAAAUGA